rnacentral:rRNA from 1 species
AACGAACGCUGGCGGCAGGCUUAACACAUGCCAGUCGAACGCGUGCAGCAAUGCACGAGUGGCGCACGGGUGAGUAACGAGUGGAUAUCUGCCUUUUGGUUCGGAAUAACCCCGGGAAACUGGGGCUAAUACCGGAUGGUUCCUACGGGAUAAAGAUUUAUCGCCAAAAGAUGAGUCCGCGUCCGAUUAGCUAGUUGGUGAGGUAAUGGCUCACCAAGGCGACGAUCGGUAGCUGGUCUGAGAGGACGAUCAGCCACACUGGGGCUGAGACACGGCCCAGAUUCUUCGGGAGGGCGGAAGGGGGGAAAUUGGAACAAGGGGGGCAACCCGAAUCCAGCCUGGCCGGGGGGUGGAUGAGGGCCUUCGGGUGGUAAGCCUCUUUUGCGGGGGACGUUGUGAAGGGACCCCGCGAAAAAGGCCCGGCUAACUUCGUG